GAUGAACGCUAGCGGCAGGCUUAACACAUGCAAGUCGAGGGGUAUAGUUCUUCGGAACUAGAGACCGGCGCACGGGUGCGUAACGCGUAUGUAAUCUACCUUUUACAGGGGGAUAGCCCAGAGAAAAUUGGAUUAAUACCCCAUAGUAUGUUGUUGUUGGAGUACUAUAAUAUUAAGGUUCCAACGGUAAAAGAUGAGCAUGCGUCCCAUUAGCUAGGUGGUAAGGUAACGGCUUACCAUGGCUACGAUGGGUAGGGGGCCUGAGAGGGAGAUCCCCCACACUGGUACUGAGACACGGACCAGACUCCUACGGGAGGCAGCAGUGAGGAAUAUUGGACAAUGGGCGCAAGCCUGAUCCAGCCAUGCCGCGUGCAGGAUGAUGGUCCUAUGGAUUGUAAACUGCUUUUGUACAGGAAGAAACACUCCCUCGUGAGGGAGCUUGACGGUACUGUAAGAAUAAGGAUCGGCUAACUCCGUGCCAGCCGCCGCCGUAA
rnacentral:rRNA from 1 species